rnacentral:lncRNA from 1 species
GGUCCCUACUGGGUUAUAAUAUUUAAUCCAAUGGUUAGAAAUAAUGAAAAGAGUUGAUCCAAAAGCUAAAAAACUGAUAGCAACAAUGAAAUUUUGCUACUAAUAGUAACCCAGUCCAACUCUCUCUCUCUCUCUCUCUCUCUCUCUCUCUAUAUAUAUAUAUAUAUAUAUAUAAAAUUGAGCUCCUAUGCUUUUAAAAGUAUCAAGUCAUUGGUGCUUGUAAGUUUCGACCCUUGGAUUAAGGAAUGUGCGGUUACGAUGAUGCGAGCCCCCUAGGGUUGAGUGGGUGGUUGGUUGAAUAGUAUAAUUUAACGAGUAAAAAUGAUCAAAGGCGUAGAUCUAACGGUAAAAAAUUUACAAGCACCAAGUGCUUGGUACUUUUACAAGCACCAUAGCCAGACUAUAUAUAUAUAUAUAUAUAUAUAUAUAUG